rnacentral:rRNA from 1 species
UACGUAGGGGGCGAGCGUUGUCCGGAUUUAUUGGGCGUAAAGAGCGUGUAGGCGGUUCGGUAAGUCUGUCGUGAAAUCCUGAGGCUCAACCUCGGGCGUGCGAUGGAUACUGCCGGGCUAGAGGGUGGUAGAGGCGAGUGGAAUUCCCGGUGUAGCUGUGAAAUGCGCAGAUAUCGGGAGGAACACCAGUAGCGAAGGCGGCUCGCUGGGCCACACCUGACGCUGAGACGCGAAAGCGUGGGGAGCAAACAGG